GGCAUAAUCAAUGAUAGGGUUGAUCCCUUAUUCCUGAAGUUCAGAGGUUCAUUAUCUCCGAUGGCCAUAAAAGUCAAAAGUAUAACUCAUAUAGCUGGGGCAAAGGUGUUUCUUUUCUGAGUUCCUCCAUUCAAAGACAAGAAAGCCUUUUGGUUCACACUUCCUCCUUCCCAAGCUAGUCCUUCAAUAUCUUACACUCGAAGAUCUAGUGCGAGCUCCCUCUUGUCUUCUGGAGAUCGGGAAGAGGUCGACAAUCAAGACCAAUCCACCGCUAGCUGUAAAGGAGAAAGCCUCAUUGGAUAAAGACCCUUCAUUGCUAGCUUCCUUGCCGAUUGAGAGAAAGAGAAGGCAACGAAGCCGAUUGAGAGAAGGCAACGAAGCCCUACUCGAAGCUUGGAGUUCAUUCUGCUAGUCUGACUGUGAGCUAUAAGGAAAGGAGAAGAGAACAGAGCACUUCCCCGCCUUACAACAUUUUCUCCAUGUGCGUGCCCCGUAUCAAGGGCUAUGCCUAUAUAGAAGACGAUCAGACCUAAGAAAGCUCAUUUGGUGAGGCCUCAGAUAGCAAGUCGGGCUACGAACUCUAUUUAACUACGGUAGGGAAGCCUUCGACUAAAGAAGGGAAUGAAAAGAAAGGGCACUUCUUACGCCGCUAAAGAGCUUGAAUCCAACGCUUUUCUGUCGAGUAAAAAACAUGUGAUUAGAUUGGAUAUAGCUUUCAGUAUACGGGCAUAGUCAUUUCCCUUCCGAGCACAGGAAGCAUUUGUCCAAUCCAAGACAUAUCGGUAUCGGUCAAAGAAAAGUGGAUUUCUUUCUGUCGCGUGAGACCUAUAUAUCCGUGGGACAGAAGUGGUCUUGCCUCUGCGUUGGAAAGCCCAUAUCGAAAGCUCUCGAUCCGAGAAAAGGCAAUGAAAUCGCUUGCUAAGCUGCUUUUGAGAAGCUAUAGCAGAUGACCCUAGCUUCCAUCACAUCAACCAUAAGAAUGAGAGUUUAGGAAUAAUAAGCUUACCCAUUUGAUAGCCG
rnacentral:lncRNA from 1 species